rnacentral:rRNA from 1 species
CCGAUGGCGACCGGCGCACGGUGGAGUAACACGUAUCCAACCUGCCGAUGACUCGGGGAUAGCCUUUCGAAAGAAAGAUUAAUACCCGAUGGCAUAGUUCUUCCGCAUGGUAGAACUAUUAAAGAAUUUCGGUCAUCGAUGGGAUGCGUUCCACUAGGUUGUUGGCGGGGUAACGGCCCACCAAGCCUUCGAUGGAUAGGGGUUCUGAGAGGAAGGUCCCCCACAUUGGAACUGAGACACGGUCCAA